rnacentral:rRNA from 1 species
GACGACUGGCGGCGUGCCUAACACAUGCAAGUCGAACGAAGCGUAUUUUUUUAUGUAAGUUUUUCGGAUGGAAUAGAGAUUGACUGAGUGGCGGACGGGUGAGUAACGCGUGGGUAACCUGCCUCACACGUGGGGGACAACAGUUAGAAAUGACUGCUAAUACCGCAUAAGCGCACAGGGUCGCAUGACCUGGUGUAGAAAAACUCCGGUGGUAUGAGAUGGACCCGCGUUGGAUUAGCUGGUUGGUGAGGUAACGGCCCACCAAAGCGACGAUCAGUAGCCGACCUGAGAGGGUGACCGGCCACAUUGGGACUGAGACACGGCCCAAACUCCUACGGGAGGCAGCAGUGGGGAAUAUUGCACAAUGGGGGAAACCCUGAUGCAGCGACGCCGCGUGAGCGAAGAAGUAUUUCGGUAUGUAAAGCUCUAUCAGCGGGGAAGAAGAAAUGACGGUACCUGACUAAGAAGCCCCGGCUAACUACGUG